UACGUGAGGGGCGAACGUUGUUCGGUGUCACUGGGCUUAAAGGGCGCGUAGGUGGUUGUGUAAGUAACGUGUGAAAUCCCUCGGCUUACCCGGGGAAUUGCGCGUUAUACUGCAUGGCUUGAGGGUCAGAGGGGAAGAAGGAACUCCAGGUGUAGCGGUGAAAUGCGCAGAUAUCAGGAGGAACACCGGUGGCGAAGGCGGAUCUCUGGGCCAUUACUGACGCUGGAGGAGCGAAAGCUAGGGGAGCAAACGGG
rnacentral:rRNA from 1 species